rnacentral:rRNA from 1 species
ACAGUGAUGCAGAGCAAAUCCCCAAAAGCAGUCUUAGUUCGGAUUGUAGGCUGCAACUCGCCUACAUGAAGUCGGAAUUGCUAGUAAUCGCGGAUCAGCAUGCCGCGGUGAAUACGUUCCCGGGCCUUGUACACACCGCCCGUCACACCAUGGGAGUCGGUAACACCCGAAGCCUGUAGUCUAACCGCAAGGAGGACGCAGUCGAAGGUGGGAUUGAUGACUAGGGUGAAGUCGUAACAAGGUAGC